rnacentral:rRNA from 1 species
AACGAACGCUGGCGGCAGGCCUAACACAUGCAAGUCGAGCGCCCCGCAAGGGGAGCGGCGGACGGGUGAGUAACGCGUGGGAAUAUGCCCUUUGCUACGGAAUAGUCUCGGGAAACUGGGGGUAAUACCGUAUACGCCCUUUGGGGGAAAGAUUUAUCGGCGAAGGAUUAGCCCGCGUUGGAUUAGGUAGUUGGUGGGGUAAUGGCCUACCAAGCCGACGAUCCAUAGCCGGUUUGAGAGGAUGAUCAGCCACACUGGGACUGAGACACGGCCCAGACUCCUACGGGAGGCAGCAGUGGGGAAUCUUAGACAAUGGGGGCAACCCUGAUCUAGCCAUGCCGCGUGAGUGAUGAAGGCCUUAGGGUUGUAAAGCUCUUUCAGCUGGGAAGAUAAUGACGGUACCAGCAGAAGAAGCCCCGGCUAACUCCGUG